GACGAACGCUGGCGGCGUGCUUAACACAUGCAAGUCGAACGCUGAAGCACCAGCUUGCUGGUGUGGAUGAGUGGCGAACGGGUGAGUGAUACGUGAGUAACCUGCCCUUGACUCUGGGAUAAGCCCGGGAAACUGGGUCUAAUACUGGAUGCUACAUGUCACCGCAUGGUGGUGUGUGGAAAGGGUUUACUGGUCUUGGAUGGGCUCACGGCCUAUCAGCUUGUUGGUGAGGUAAUGGCUCACCCAGGCGACGACAGGUAGCCGGCCUGAGAGGGUGACCGGCCACACUGGGACUGAGACACGGCCCAGACUCCUACGGGAGGCAGCAGUGGGGAAUAUUGCACAAUGGGCGAAAGCCUGAUGCAGCGACGCCGCGUGAGGGAUGACGGCCUUCGGGUUGUAAACCUCUUUCAGCAGGGAAGAAGCCACAAGUGACGGUACCUGCAGAAGAAGCGCCGGCUAACUACGUGCCAGCAGCCGCAGUAA
rnacentral:rRNA from 1 species